rnacentral:rRNA from 1 species
GGGAGGGAGUUCUCCCAGUGGAUGCAAACACAAACAAAUAUUUUUUUAAACUAAUUCAGUCAACACAAGAUUUCUUUUAGUAGAAAACAACUUCAAAACUUUCAACAAUGGAUC